GUAGUUUGUCGGGUGAGCAUUGAAGGCAGCUUAGCCCCUCCACAUGCUGCGCACUCUGCAGCUGGUGGGUGAAGCUUCUGCCGACUUAGCACGGAGCCUGGUGGGAUCACCCCACUCCAAGGGGAGAAAAGGCGCCUCCGUUCCUGUCCCCCAACUUCUUUGCGUCUUUGAUUUUCAUGAGGAGUUUCUGGAUCUCUGCCAGGUGUGAGGGGCGGUGAGCUCUGAAGGGGCUGCCAUAUCCUGAUCCUGGGACUUGGGUGCAGAGGGCAGGUCCAGGUUCCCGAGC
rnacentral:lncRNA from 1 species